AUUGAACGCUGGCGGCAGGCUUAACACAUGCAAGUCGAGCGAGCGGCGGACGGGUGAGUAAUGUCUGGGAAACUGCCUGAUGGAGGGGGAUAACUACUGGAAACGGUAGCUAAUACCGCAUACCAUCAGAUGUGCCCAGAUGGGAUUAGCUAGUAGGUGGGGUAAUGGCUCACCUAGGCGACGACCCCUGGCUGGUCUGAGAGGAUGACCGGCAAAACUGGAACGGAGCCACGGUCCAGACUCCUACGGGAGGAAGCAGUGGGGAAUAUUGCACAAUGGGCGCAGGCCUGAGGCAGCCAGGCCGCGUGUGUGAAGAAGGCCUUCGGGUUGUAAAGCACGUUCAGCGAGGAGGCGUUACUCGCAGAAGAAGCACCGGCUAACUCCGUGCCAGCCGCCGCGGUAAUAC
rnacentral:rRNA from 1 species